rnacentral:lncRNA from 1 species
GGGAUCUGGAGUCAGGUUCUUUUGCUCUCAUAGCAAGCCCUUCACUAACUGAAACUGUCUCCCCAGCACCAAGGAAUUUCCAACUAAAGAAAUUUAUAUUAUUGCCUCUUCCCCAUCAGUUAAAGCUUGAGUAGAAGUCACCCUGCCCUUAGGCAGGAGCUAAAAUUAACUAUUAGCCCAAUGAGGAGAUUGCAGAUGUCUUUUUUCUCCUAUAAGGUAUCAGUAUCAACAGCUGCAUAGCGAUCAGAACCUGAGCCAUAAAUCUGUUUGUGGGUCCUAAGUGAUGUUAACCGAAGCAAUGCUGCUGGAUACCAGAGAAUCCGCCUAAUUUUGUCUGUAUUCCAAGGCACAGACCUCAUGUAGUUUUCUGCAUGUCCCUUGAGCCACAUAGCAAUGAGCGAACUCAAAGUCACCUCCUUGACAGCUCCAGAAUGAGGCCUGAUCACCAAAGAGACCUCAGCCACAUGAUUAGAAGACUGAGAUUCUAAGCCAGUCUGAACCCUGGGAGUGGCUGGAGCGUAAGACUCAAUAGGUCACAGAAGAAUAUGAAGAGGACCCGUGCAAGUGUUUGUUUCUUUCUCAGAAGAGUAUGUCAUACAAACUAAUCCUCAGCGAGGAGGUCACAGACUCUGUGGCGAUGAUCUAGGUACCUUUCUCAAUAUUCUUCUAUUCUUUAUGACCAAAGAGAUGACCAUGGGUUGUAUAGCACUUCUCCUUGCUGCCAUUUGCUUGGUUCCACUGAUGCCAGGCCAUGUUUUAAACAAGAGCCGGCCCAAAACAGAGACCACUAAGAGCACUCUUAUGCCCUUACUGUGAGCUCUCAUCUAUUAUCUGGAAGAGAUGAUCAGAAGCAGGAAUACAAAUCUAGGCUUUGGGAGAAUAAAGUGGAGUUUGCUUGAGCAUUUUAAACCUGGAGGUAAAAGUAAUGCGUGGUUAACCAUUGCCCCCAGUCCUUGUUUGAAGGUUGCUUUAAAGGCCCCCAUAUCCUGUAUUCCUUAGAUGGAGGUUGAGUGGUCUGUGGAGGGUAAGGGAGCAAAGAGAGGAAGUAGUUCAUGGAUAGUGGCAGUAUGCUCAGCACUAAACAGGUAAAGACCCGCACAGGAUUGUCCAUCACGCGAUGGCAAGUUGGAAGGACACUUAAUGUCACAGUGUCUAAGAUGCUUCUGCUAUGUGUAGAUUCCCUUGGGUUCCUCCUUGCAAGGUCACUGAAGUUUAUUUAUAUCAUUCUGCCUGAGGCUACA